CAAACGUAUGAUGAGAAUAUAUACAAUCAUAGCAUAGAGUCGGCAAAUUAUAAUAAUAGAAUAUUAAAAUGGAUACUAACAUAAAAUCGGCAUCAUAAUUCUAUGUAUUAGCAUUUAGGGAAAUUGCCAAAAAUACCAUUUUUAAAGUACCACUUUUCAUGUUUACACUAACCACUUUUACCCUCAUCUUUAAUGAAUGGUAAAAGACAUUUAUAACCUUUUAAUAAACUUUGACAAAAAAAAACAUAUGGCUAACUAAUCUAAACUUAAAACAUCAACUCUAAACCCUAAACCCUAAAUCUUCAAAUCUAAACCCUAAAAUAUCAACUCUAAACCCUAAACGUAAACCCUAAACCAUAAAUCUAAACUUAAAACAUCAACUUUAAACCUUAAAUCAUCAACUCUAAACCCUAAACCAUGAAACAUAAACUCUAACCCUAAACCCCGAAACAUCAACUUUAAACCUUCAAAUAUAAACCCUAAAUCAUCAACUCUAAACCCUAAACGUAAACCCUAAACCAUAUUUUUCCGAAAUUCGAACCCUAAAACCCAAAACCUUCAAAUUUAAACCCUAAACGUAAACGUAAACCCUAAACCGUAAAACCCUAAACCUUCAAAUCAAAACCCUAAAACAUCAACUUUAGGGUUUUAGGGUUUAGGGUUUAGGAUUUAGGGUUUAGAGUUGAAGGUUUAGGGUUUAGGGUUUAGAGUUGAUGUUUUAGGAUUUAGGGUUUAGAGUUGAAGGUUUAGGGUUUAGGGUUUAGAGUUGAUGUUUUAGGGUUUAGGGUUAAUUUUUUAGGAUUUAGGGUUUAGAGUUUAUUUUUUAGGGUUUAGGGUUUAGUGUUGAUAGUUUAGGGUUUAGUGUUGAUGGUUUAAGGUUUAGAGUUGAAGAGGUUUAGGGUUUAGAGUUUAUGUUUUAGGGUUUAGAGUUGAAGGUUUAGGGUUUAGGGUUUAGAGUUGAUGUUUCGGAGUUUAGGGUUUAGAGUUGAUGUUUCAGGGUUUAGGGUUCGUAUUUCAAAAAAAAAAGGGUUUAGAUUGAUGGUUUAGGGUUCGUAUUUCAAAAAAAAUAGGGUCUAGGAUUGACGGUUUAGGGUUUAGAGUUGAGUUUUAGGGUUUAGGGUUUGA
rnacentral:lncRNA from 1 species